AUGCAUUGCGUAAAAUUUCCUUGAUAUUUAUUUCAAUCAGUUUCUGAUACAUACACUGUUGCUUUGAUUACAAUUUUAUGAAUAGCAUGAUUUGGAAUACUCUGAAAUUCUAUUAUCACCUAUAUUUAUGUGAGUUAGCAGGAAAAUAUAGCGGGGAAAAAUGUUUUUUUUUUGGAAAAAACAUGAAUUAUGAACAUGUUAUUUGGUUAGAUAAUGGCAGCCAUUCAACUUCC